AUGCGUCGCCUCCACUACACCAUCACCAUCCUACUCUCCGCCACCUGCCUCCUUCACGCCAUGGGGUCGCCAGCACUGCCUGACCCGGCGUCGCUCGAGCCGUCCCUGCUCUUCCCGUCGGCCGGCGCCUCCCAGGCUCAACCCGCCGCGGCAUCCACCAUCCCGGCAUUCCCCGAGCAGUCCGAGGCCGCGGCCACGUCCUCCGUCUGCCAGCUCACUCCCUCCCCGCCGCUCCUCCCGGCCGUCCUGGCCUCCUGCAACGCCGGCAGCGCCGGUGGCGGCGUCCUCCCGCCGCGGCUGCGGUGCUGCCCGGCCCUGGCCGCGUGGCUGUACGCCGCGUACGCGCCCACCGCGUUGGGGAGCGACGGCAGCAGGUGGUCGAAGCUUCCCGCCGCGGCGGCGGACGUGACGGACCUGCCGCUGCUGCCGGACGACGUGGAGGAGUGCGCGGGCGCCGCGGAGCGCGCGCUGAGGUCCGCGGGAGCGACGCUGCCGCAGCCGCAGGCGGGGAGCAAUAAUGGGACGACGUGCGACGUGCCCUUCUGCUACUGCGGGAUAAGACUGAGGCGGCCGGUCUGCGCGCUGCCGGCGGGCAGGGCUGCGAGGAGGCUGGAGAGGGACUGCGCGCGGCCGGGGCUCGCCGGCUGCUCCCGGUGCCUCCGGGCGCUGAACCUGCUGAACGCCAUUGGAGAGAAGAACGCCACGUCGGGGAAGGCCAAUCAUGGGGCGAAGCCACGUGAGCGUGACUGCCAGCUCAUGGGGCUGACGUGGCUGCUGCAGCGGAACGCCAUGCGGCAUCGGGCGGCUGCUACGGCGGUCCUCCAGGCUCUCAUGGCGGCCGAGGAGGCGGGCGCUACCAGCGCGCCCGCCACGUGCUCGCUCCCCGUGGACGGCCUGCCGCUUGCCGUCGCAUCGUCGGAGAUCAAUGGCGCCGCCGAUGCGUCCCCCUUGGGCAGCCUGCUUCUUCGCUUUCUGCUGGGGACGUCUGCCUUCAUCUUGUCCCGGCGGUUCUGA
rnacentral:rRNA from 1 species